AGUCGAGGGGCAGCGAGUAGAUUGCUUGCAAUCUACGUCGGCGACCGGCGCACGGGUGCGUAACGCGUAUGCAACCUACCCAUUACAGGGGGAUAACACUGAGAAAUCGGUACUAAUACCCCAUAACAUCCAGGGAGGCAUCUUCUUGGGUUGAAAACUCCGGUGGUAAUGGAUGGGCAUGCGUUGUAUUAGUUAGUUGGUGGGGUAACGGCUCACCAAGACGACGAUACAUAGGGGGACUGAGAGGUUAACCCCCCACAUUGGUACUGAGACACGGACCAAACUCCUACGGGAGGCAGCAGUGAGGAAUAUUGGUCAAUGGACGCAAGUCUGAACCAGCCAUGCCGCGUGCAGGAAGACGGCUCUAUGAGUUGUAAACUGCUUUUGUACGAGGGUAAACGCAGAUACGUGUAUCUGUCUGAAAGUAUCGUACGAAUAAGGAUCGGCUAACUCCGUGCCAGCAGCCGCGGUAAUACGGAGGAUUCAAGCGUUAUCCGGAUUUAUUGGGUUUAAAGGGUGCGUAGGCGGUCGGAUAAGUUAGAGGUGAAAUCCCGGGGCUCAACUUCGGAAUUGCCUCUGAUACUGUUCGGCUAGAGAGUAGUUGCGGUAGGCGGAAUGUAUGGUGUAGCGGUGAAAUGCUUAGAGAUCAUACAGAACACCGAUUGCGAAGGCAGCUUACCAAGCUACUUCUGACGUUGAGGCACGAAAGCGUGGGGAGCAAACAGGAUUAGAUACCCUGGUAGU
rnacentral:rRNA from 1 species